UGACGGGGACCCGCACAAGCGGUGGAGCAUGUGGUUUAAUUCGAAGCAACGCGAAGAACCUUACCAAAUCUUGACAUCCUUUGACCCUUCUAGAGAUAGAAGUUUCCCCUUCGGGGGACAAAGCGACAGGUGGUGCAUGGUUGUCGUCAGCUCGUGUCGUGAGAUGUUGGGUUAAGUCCCGCAACGAGCGCAACCCUUAAGCUUAGUUGCCAUCAUUAAGUUGGGCACUCUAAGUUGACUGCCGGUGACAA
rnacentral:rRNA from 1 species